GUCCACGCCGUAAACUAUGAGAGCUAGACGUCGGGCGGCUUGCCGUUCGGUGUCGCAGCUAACGCAUUAAGCUCUCCGCCUGGGGAGUACGGCCGCAAGGUUAAAACUCAAAGGAAUUGACGGGGCCCGCACAAGCGGUGGAGCAUGUGGUUUAAUUCGAAGCAACGCGAAGAACCUUACCAGGCCUUGACAUCCCUCCGCCAUCGCUAGAGAUAGUGAGUUCCCUUUGGGGACGGAGGAGACAGGUGGUGCAUGGUUGUCGU
rnacentral:rRNA from 1 species